GAUGAACGCUGGCGGCGUGCCCAAUACAUGCAAGUCGAGCGAACAGACGAGGAGCUUGCUCCUCUGACGUUAGCGGCGGACGGGUGAGUAACACGUGGAUAACCUACCUAUAAGACUGGGAUAACUUCGGGAAACCGGAGCUAAUACCGGAUAAUAUAUUGAACCGCAUGGUUCAAUAGUGAAAGACGGUUUUGCUGUCACUUAUAGAUGGCUCCGCGCCGCAUUAGCUAGUUGGUAAGGUAACGGCUUACCAAGGCAACGAUGCGUAGCCGACAUGAGAGGGUGAUCGGCCACACUGGAACUGAGACACGGUCCAAACUACUACGGGAGGCAGCAGUAGGGAAUCUUCCGCAAUGGGCGAAAGCCUGACGGAGCAACGCCGCGUGAGUGAUGAAGGUCUUCGGAUCGUAACACUCUGUUAGUAGGGAAGAACAAAUGUGUAAGUAACUAUGCACGUCUUGACGGUACCUAAUCAGAAAGCCACGGCUAACUACGUG
rnacentral:rRNA from 1 species